ACGACAGUGGCAGGUAUAACUACAGUGUAAAUACGACAGUGGCAGGUAUAACUACAGUGUAAAUACGACAGUGGCAGGUAUAACUACAGUGUAAAUACGACAGUGGCAGGUAUAACUACAGUGGCAGGUAUAACUACAGUGUAAAUACGACAGUGGCAGGUAUAACUACAGUGUAAAUACGACAGUGGCAGGUAUAACUACAGUGUAAAUACGACAGUGGCAGGUAUAACUACAGUGGCAGGUAUAACUACAGUGUAAAUACGACAGUGGCAGGUAUAACUACAGUGUAAAUACGACAGUGGCAGGUAUAACUACAGUGUAAAUACGACAGUGGCAGGUAUAACUACAGUGUAAAUACGACAGUGGCAGGUAUAACUACAGUGUAAAUACGACAGUGGCAGGUAUAACUACAGUGUAAAUACGACAGUGGCAGGUAUAACUACAGUGUAAAUACGACAGUGGCCGGUAUAACUACAGUGUAAAUACGACAGUGGCAGGUAUAACUACAGUGUAAAUACGACAGUGGCAGGUAUAACUACAGUGUAAAUACGACAGUGGCAGGUAUAACUACAGUGGCAGGUAUAACUACAGUGUAAAUACGACAGUGGCAGGUAUAACUACAGUGUAGAUACGAC